UUGCAGGUGUAUGGUUAUCGAGACAGACUAACUUAUGGCGGCAUGAAUAGUUGUGGACCAAGGUCUCUUCUUCACGCAUCAUGAUGCUGUAACAUGCGCUUCAUUAUCUUCCAACUGCUACUUUAAUAAUGCCCUGAGUUAUCAUCAACGUCGUCAUUGCGUAUGUCUUCAUGGCUAAUGGCUUCGUCUUCAGAAAAUGCCUCUGUCACAUUACACGACUUCCAUAGGAUGCCAAAUGUUAAGACAUCAUGUACAGGUGGAUGCACAACUUAACGGGAAUGGACCGGACAUUGAAGAUCAACAAUUAGAUGCCCUUUAUUCAAAACUUUAAUCUUUCUUGACUCAAGUAAUGUAACACGGUGUUAGCAUUGUGUAGCACACUUAGAACAUGGGUUAACUUAUGAACAAUUAUUACAUGCUUGUAAUUUUAAUUGCUAUCCCGUGAUUUUUAUGCCUGCAGGUGUCCCCUUGGGCAUUUUUACUUUGCCAUUUGUGAGUAGUGAUUUGGACUUUGUAAUGUAACCCCAUG